AUUGAACGCUGGCGGCAGGCCUAACACAUGCAAGUCGAACGAGUGGCGGACGGGUGAGUAAUGUCUUGGAAACUGCCCGAUGGAGGGGGAUAACUACUGGAAACGCUAGCUAAUACCGCAUACCAUCGGAUGUGCCCAGAUGGGAUUAGCUAGUAGGUGGGGUAACGGCUCACCUAGGCGACGAUCCCUAGCUGGGCUGAGAGGAUGACAAGCCACACUGGAACUGAGACACGGUCCAGACUCCUACGGGAGGCAGCAGGGGGGAAUCUUGCACAAUGGGCGCAAGCCUGAUGAAGCCAUGCCGCGUGUAUGAAGAAGGCCUUCGGGUUGUAAAGUACUUUCAGCGAGGAGGCGUUACUCGCAGAAGAAGCACCGGCUAACUCCGUGCCAGCAGCCGCGGUAAUAC
rnacentral:rRNA from 1 species